rnacentral:rRNA from 1 species
GACGAACGCUGGCGGCGUGCCUAAUACAUGCAAGUAGAACGCUGAAGAGAGGAGCUUACUCUUCUUGGGUGAGUUGCGAACGGGUGAGUAACGCGUAGGUAACCUGCCUUGUAGCGGGGGAUAACUAUUGGAAACGAUAGCUAAUACCGCAUAACAAUGGAUGACACAUGUCAUUUAUUUGAAAGGGGCAAUUGCUCCACUACAAGAUGGACCUGCGUUGUAUUAGCUAGUAGGUGAGGUAAUGGCUCACCUAGGCGACGAUACAUAGCCGACCUGAGAGGGUGAUCGGCCACACUGGGACUGAGACACGGCCCAGACUCCUACGGGAGGCAGCAGUAGGGAAUCUUCGGCAAUGGGGGCAACCCUGACCGAGCAACGCCGCGUGAGUGAAGAAGGGUUUCGGAUCGUAAAGCUCUGUUGUAAGUCAAGAACGGGUGUGAGAGUGGAAAGUUCACACUGUGACGGUAGCUUACCAGAAAGGGACGGCUAACUACGUG